rnacentral:tRNA from 2 species
UCGGGAAGUAGCUCAGUUUGGUAGAGCACCUGGUUUGGGACCAGGGGGUCGCAGGUUCGAAUCCUGUCUUCCCGAU